UGAGGAAUAUUGGACAAUGGGUUAGCGCCUGAUCCAGCCAUCCCGCGUGAAGGACGACGGUUCUAUGGAUUGUAAACUUCUUUUAUAUAGGGAUAAACCUACUCUCGUGAGAGUAGCUGAAGGUACUAUAG
rnacentral:rRNA from 1 species